AGGUGCGAUCAUACCAGCACUAAUGCACAGGAUCCCAUCAGAACUCUGCAGUUAAGCGUGCUUGGGCGAGAGUAGUACUAGGAUGGGUGACCUCCUGGGAAGUCCUUGUGUUGCACCUCUUUUUGCCAAAAUUUUACGUCGUUUUUGAAAAAUAAACUUCGAUUGUAUUUCAUUUUUUCCGUUAAUUUACGCAACCUAAAACUCUAUUCGUUAAUUAGCGUAGUUUGACGUCUUUUUUGAAAAAUAAACUUAGAAAUGCAUAUAUACAAUUACAACGCUUUACUCUCAGGUGCGAUCAUACCAGCACUAAUGCACCGGAUCCCAUCAGAACUCCGCAGUUAAGCGUGCUUGGGCGAGAGUAGUACUAGGAUGGGUGACCUACUAGGAAGUCCUUGCGUUGCACCUCUUUUUGCCAAAUUUUUUUGUUCUUUUUGUUAAUUAGCGUAAUUUUACGUCGUUAUUGAAAAAUAAACUUCGAUUGUAUUUAAUUUUGUUCCGUUAAUUUACGCAACCUAAAACUCUAUUAGUUAAUUAGCGUAGUUUGAUGUAUUUUUUGAAAAAUAAACUUAGAAAUGCAUAUAUACAAUUACAACGCUUUACUCUCAGGUGCGAUCAUACCAGCAUUAAUGCUUCGGAUCCCAUCAGAACUCCGCAGUUAAGCGUGCUUGGUCGAGAGUAGUACUAGGACGGGUGACCUCCUAGGAAGUCCUUGUGUUGCACCUCUUUUUGCCAAAAUUUUACGUCGCUUUUGAAAAAUAAACUUCGAUUGUAUUUCAUUUUUUCCGUUAAUUUACGCAACCUAAAACUCUAUUCGUUAAUUAGCGUAGUUUGACGUCUUUUUUGAAAAAUAAACUUAGAAAUGCAUAUAUACAAUUACAACGCUUUACUCUCAGGUGCGAUCAUACCAGCAUUAAUGCUUCGGAUCCCAUCAGAACUCCGCAGUUAAGCGUGCUUGUUUGAGAGUAGUACUAGGACGGGUGACCUCCUAGGAAGUCCUUGUGUUGCACCUCUUUUUGCCAAAAUUUUACGUCGCUUUUGAAAAAUAAACUUCGAUUGUAUUUCAUUUUUUCCGUUAAUUUACGCAACCUAAAACUCUAUUCGUUAAUUAGCGUAGUUUGACGUCUUUUUUGAAAAAUAAACUUAGAAAUGCAUAUAUACAAUUACAACGCUUUACUCUCAGGUGCGAUCAUACCAGCACUAAUGCACCGGAUCCCAUCAAAACUCCGCAGUUAAGCGUGCUUGGGCGAGAGUAGUACUAGGAUGGGUGACCUACUAGGAAGUCCUUGCGUUGCACCUCUUUUUGCCAAAAUUUCUUGUUCUAUUUGUUAAUUAGCGUAAUUUUACGUCGUUUUUGAAAAAUAAACUUCGAUUGUAUUUCAUUUUUUUCCGUUAAUUUACGCAACCUAAAACUCUAUUAGUUAAUUAGCGUAGUUUGACGUCUUUUUUGAAAAAUAAACUUAGAAAUGCAUAUAUACAAUUACAACGCUUUACUCUCAGGUGCGAUCAUACCAGCACUAAUGCACAGGAUCCCAUCAGAACUCUGCAGUUAAGCGUGCUUGGGCGAGAGUAGUACUAGGAUGGGUGACCUCCUGGGAAGUCCUUGUGUUGCACCUCUUUUUGCCAAAAUUUUACGUCGUUUUUGAAAAAUAAACUUCGAUUGUAUUUCAUUUUUUCCGUUAAUUUACGCAACCUAAAACUCUAUUCGUUAAUUAGCGUAGUUUGACGUCUUUUUUGAAAAAUAAACUUAGAAAUGCAUAUAUACAAUUACAACGCUUUACUCUCAGGUGCGAUCAUACCAGCACUAAUGCACCGGAUCCCAUCAGAACUCCGCAGUUAAGCGUGCUUGGGCGAGAGUAGUACUAGGAUGGGUGACCUACUAGGAAGUCCUUGCGUUGCACCUCUUUUUGCCAAAAUUUCUUGUUCUUUUUGUUAAUUAGCGUAAUUUUACGUCGUUAUUGAAAAAUAAACUUCGAUUGUAUUUAAUUUUUUUCCGUUAAUUUACGCAACCUAAAACUCUAUUAGUUAAUUAGCGUAGUUUGAUGUAUUUUUUGAAAAAUAAACUUAGAAAUGCAUAUAUACAAUUACAACGCUUUACUCUCAGGUGCGAUCAUACCAGCAUUAAUGCUUCGGAUCCAUCAGAACUCCGCAGUUAAGCGUGCUUGGUCGAGAGUAGUACUAGGACGGGUGACCUCCUAGGAAGUCCUUGUGUUGCACCUCUUUUUGCCAAAAUUUUAUGUCGCUUUUGAAAAAUAAACUUCGAUUGUAUUUCAUUUUUUCCGUUAAUUUACGCAACCUAAAACUCUAUUCGUUAAUUAGCGUAGUUUGACGUCUUUUUUGAAAAAUAAACUUAGAAAUGCAUAUAUACAAUUACAACGCUUUACUCUCAGGUGCGAUCAUACAGCACUAAUGCACCGGAUCCCAUCAAACUCCGCAGUUAAGCGUGCUUGGGCGAGAGUAGUACUAGGAUGGGUGACCUACUAGGAAGUCCUUGCGUUGCACCUCU
rnacentral:lncRNA from 1 species